rnacentral:snRNA from 1 species
AUCGCUUCAUGGCCUAAUGGCUUUGAUCAAAGUGUAGUAUCUGUUCUUAUCAGCUUAAUAUCUGAUACGCUUUCCACUGGAAAGCCAGAAUAUUAACCUGUUUUUUGGAUCUCAUCUAACCUCAUGAGCUUGCUCAAGGUAGAUACGAGUUGUACUGGCAUUGCAUUACCGCCAGCUUCAGCUCCACAAAA